rnacentral:rRNA from 1 species
AAUCAACGCUGGCGGCGUGCCUAACACAUGCAAGUCGCACGAGAAAGGGGAGCAAUCCCUGAGUAAAGUGGCGCACGGGUGAGUAACACGUGACUAACCUACCCUCGAGUGGGGAAUAACCUAGAGAAAUCUGGGCUAAUACCGCAUAACACUUACGAGUCAAAGCAGCAAUGCGCUUGAGGAGGGGGUCGCGGCAGAUUAGCUAGUUGGCGGGGUAAUGGCCCACCAAGGCAAUGAUCUGUGUCCGGCCUGAGAGGGCGCACGGACACACUGGAACUGAAACACGGUCCAGACUCCUACGGGAGGCAGCAGUGGGGAAUUUUGCGGCAAUGGGGGAAACCCUGACGCAGCAACGCCGCGUGGAGGAUGAAAUCCCUUGGGAUGUAAACUCCUUUCGAUAGGGAAGAUAAUGACGGUACCUAUAGAAGAAGCCCCGGCUAACUUCGUGCCAGCCGCCGCCGUAAU